ACUUGGAGCAGCAAAAGGAGCCUCUGAGGAUGAACACAUCUCCUUCACACAAAGAUACCAUGAGAUUAAAUCCAACAACAUGUGCAGGCUUCAUCCAGAAAGUCCUUCUGAUUCUUGGAUAAGGAUUCAUGCAGGUGAGCUGGAAGGUUUCUGCAAAGAGCACCAUGACUUCUAGUUGUCCUGUCCCCGACAGAUGGGAAAAUCAAGGCUCUGAACUCAGGAAAAUGCCGAGUAUGUCAGCAUCUGAUCCUUUACCCUUCGGUGCAUGUGCACUUGAAGCUGGCUUCGUCCUCUAUUCUAGCGCAGAAACGAUGUGAAACAACUGCUGGAUGCUUUCUCAAAAAUGGGUCUGCCCCAAACCUCCCAGUCCAGAAUGUUCCAAUGUAGUUCCUUGCACUGCUUUGGGCUCAGCAAGUUUUCAUGGUAUGGAAGGUCUGAGAGCUUUGAGGAGAAGUGCUGAACCCUGAUCUUCUGUGUGUGUGUCAGAGAAAGCUUCCUGGAGGAGUCAUUAUUUGCACUGACUUUGAAGAAGCAGGAGGAGCUGGCUGGGGAAGGAGGCCAGGGGUAGGAGGGGAAAUUUUCCUGCAGAGGAAGAAGCUUGUGCCAAGCAUGGCCUGGAGGCUGGAAGGUAACUUGGCCUCUUAAUGCAGCUGCAGGGGCUCAAUGUGGCUUGAAAGGUGGUUGGGAGUGGUGGGUGAAGACAGAGGAGAGAGGGGAGGUGGGCAGGGCCACCUCAUGAAGGCCUCGAGUCUAAGAGUUUGGAUUUUCUCCCUAGGAUCCUUAGGGGUUGAGAAGAAACUGCAGGUUUUAAGCAAAGGAGUAGCCUGAUGAGAUAUGGAUUUUUGAAAGAGACCCAUGGGGCCUUAACUCAAGUGAGUCUUAGUUGCCUCCUUUGAAAAACAAGAAAAAUAGGGGGACUUUCCUAUUUUUGGUUAAGAAUCUGCCUUCCAAUGCAGGGAACGCGGGUUCGACCCCUGGUCGGGGAACUAGGAUCCCACAUACCACGGGGCAACUAAGCCCACGUGCCACAACUACUGACCCCCUGCACCACAACUACAGAGCCCAUGUGCUCUGGAGCCCACCUGCACAACUAGAGAGCCCAUGCGCCACAAUGAAAGAUCCCGUGUGCCGCAACUAAGGCCCCAUGCAGCCAAAUAUAAAUAAAUAUUAAAAAAAAAAACAAGAAAAAUAAAAUUUACCUCACAGGACUGUUCUGAGACUUCAAUAAGAUAACCGAUGGGAUAUGCCUAUCACAGGGCCAGGGAAAUCUUCCCUUCAAUUUCCCUUCCAGUGUUUGUAACAGGAAGAGCAGGUCUGCUCCUCCUCAGGCUCCUAAAAGUCUGGGGUCACCAGUCCUUAAUGAUCUCUGAAAGAGGUGUCUAGGGGGACAUUUUUGGACACAGGCUGUGCCCCAUCUGAAUGUGAAACUUUUAGACUUUGGAGGCUCUUCCCUAUGAAUAAGAACUUGUAUAUUUUCUGGAGCUUCGACAUUUCAGUCCCCCAUGAUGGGUAAGCACAGGGUAAGGACUGCCCUAAGAGAUGAGAACCCAGCUGGUCCAGGGCUUAGAAGACCAGGGAGUCUUUCUGGGCUGGGCCAGACCAGUGCUCUCAAGCAUGCUCGAAGGCUUCCUGGAUUAAGGAAUGUAAGAAGCUUAUGAAAAUAAUAUAUUGCCUAUUAAUUAUUGACAAGUUCUAUGCCAGACUCUUUAUAUGGGUUAGCUUGUUUACACAUUAACAAACUUCCACAUUUAUUAUGGCCAAGGAAACAGGCCUGAAGAAUUUAGGUAACUUAACUGAAAGUCACAGAGGGGGCAGGGCAAACCCCAGAUCUUUUUAGAGUCAAAGCUCCUUCUACUGCUUCAUCUUCUCC